CGGACAAGGGGAAUCCGACUGUU
rnacentral:ncRNA from 2 species